rnacentral:rRNA from 1 species
CAGUAGCCACGGUAAUACAGAGGGUGCAAGCGUUAAUCGGAAUUACUGGGCGUAAAGCGCACGCAGGCGGUUUGUUAAGUCAGAUGUGAAAUCCCCGGGCUCAACCUGGGAACUGCAUCUGAUACUGGCAAGCUUGAGUCUCGUAGAGGGGGGUAGAAUUCCAGGUGUAGCGGUGAAAUGCGUAGAGAUCUGGAGGAAUACCGGUGGCGAAGGCGGCCCCCUGGACGAAGACUGACGCUCAGGCGCGAAAGCGUGGGGAGCAAACAGGAUUAGAUACCCCAGUAGUCCCUGUCUCUUAUAC